CAGCACGGCGGUCGAAACUCGGAAGUCGUAAUAAGCCCUUGAAUCCUUUACGGACUUCCCAGUUAGAUUUCAAUGAAGGACAACAGCGUCGACGACACAGACAAGCUAGACAGUUCGGUGCAAAACAAUCCGACGCGACAACGACAACAACACAAAGAAGACGAGGAGGAUGGGUUACAGCGGCUUCUGUUACCUGAUGCUCGCGACCUUCCUCUCAUUCCUCCCUCUGCCGUCGAAUCCAACUUCGUUUCCUACUUCGCUCCAGAUUUCAUCAAGCCAGGACACGACCAGUACGUUUACCGUCAUGCCAAUGGACUCUGUGUAAUUGGCUUGGCUCCGACGCACGUGGCAUUUAAGGAUAGUGGUGGUAUCACGGCCGUAGAUUUCAACGUUGGGAGGUCUGAUCGCAGUGUAAUUAAGGUCACCGGGAAGCGCAAGAAGAAUGCGCAACAGUUUGAACCCAACACAGCUUUGUGUAAAGUUUGCACCAAUGAUGGUUCUUAUAUAGUGAGAUGUUGUGUGAAAGGCUCUCUAUUGGAAGUCAAUGAUAGGUUAAUCAAGCUGCCAGGUUUGCUUCAUUCAUCGGCGUACAUUUGUCCUAUAACAAGUAAGAGAAUUUGUUGGGACUGAGAAGGUGAAGGCCAAGUACUUAUACAUGAUACGAUGAUCUUCAGCAAUGGUAUUUGGGAAUGUAACAGUCCAUGGAGUUAAAAAAAAAAAAGGCAAGGCAGGAGAAUAGUGAUAGUGUGGGCAGAUAGAGAAGGAUACGUUGCCAUUAUCAUGCCAAAACCGGCAGAUUGGCUCAAAGCCAAGGGAUUGUUGCUGGGCCUCGAAGCAUAUAAGAAGUUGAGGGAUUGUUAAGUCAUUGGAAUGUUCUGUUAGUUUACAGAGUUGGGAAAAAUGAGCCAAGACAAGUGUUGCCCCUUGUAAGUGUAUUUUGCAUUUGUGUGCCACCUCCUCGAUUUAUCUGAAGGCCCUGCCUGGUAAAGCUCACCGUUGGUGAUGAGCUUCACGGCGUUAAUGUUUUUGAUAUUUUAAAUCUUUGUGGGGGAAGCUUGGUUUUCUUCUUGUUUCUCUGUGUUUUGUUUAAUUAUUUUGUUGUGAAAUAAUCUAUAUGAAAGUAAGUAGAGCUAAGGUUGGGGAUUCUUUUAUCCGGAAAAAUAAAUAUGUAGGUUGGAAUUAGCAGAAAA